rnacentral:rRNA from 1 species
UGUCCUUUUGAUUAUAAUUUAAGGUCUAAUCUGCCCACUGAGUAUUAAAUGGCCGCGGUAUAUUGACCGUGCAAAGGUAGCAUAAUAAUUAGUUUCUUAAUUAGAAGCUGGAAUGAAAGAUUGGAUGAGAGAAUAGCUGUCUCAAUUUAAUUUAAUUAGAAUUUUAUUUUUAAGUUAAAAAGCUUAAAUAAUUUUAAAAGACGAGAAGACCCUAUAGAGUUUUAUUUAUAUUUUAAAUUAAAAUUUAUAGAUUUGUUUUUUUUUAAUUAAUUAUAUAAAUUUUGUUGGGGUGAUAAAAAAAUUAAUUUAACUUUUUUUAAAUUUAAACAUUAAUAAAUGAGUUUUUGAUCCAAAGUUUUUGAUUAAAAGAUAAAAUUACCUUAGGGAUAACAGCGUAAUUUUUUUUAAGAGUUCUUAUCGAAAAAAGAGAUUGCGACCUCGAUGUUGGAUUAAAGUUAAAUUUUGGUGUAGCAGCUAAAAAAUUAGGUCUGUUCGACCUUUAAAACUUU